rnacentral:rRNA from 1 species
AACGAACGCUGGCGGCAUGCCUAACACAUGCAAGUCGAACGAAGCCUUCGGGCUUAGUGGCGCACGGGUGCGUAACGCGUGGGAAUCUGCCCUCUGGUACGGAAUAACUCAGGGAAACUUGAGCUAAUACCGUAUAAUGACUUCGGUCCAAAGAUUUAUCGCCUGAGGAUGAGCCCGCGUCGGAUUAGCUAGUUGGUGAGGUAAAAGCUCACCAAGGCGACGAUCCGUAGCUGGUCUGAGAGGAUGAUCAGCCACACUGGGACUGAGACACGGCCCAGACUCCCACGGGAGGCAGCAGUGGGGAAUAUUGGACAAUGGGCGAAAGCCUGAUCCAGCAAUGCCGCGUGAGUGAUGAAGGCCUUAGGGUUGUAAAGCUCUUUUACCCGGGAUGAUAAUGACAGUACCGGGAGAAUAAGCCCCGGCUAACUCCGUGCCAGCAGCCGCGGUAAUACGGAGGGGGCGUAGCGUUGUUCGGAAUUACUGGGCGUAAAGCGCACGGU